CCUACGGGUGGCUGCAGUGAGGAAUAUUGGUCAAUGGACGGAAGUCUGAACCAGCCAUGCCGCGUGAAGGAAGACGGCUCUAUGAGUUGUAAACUGCUUUUGUACAAGGGUAAACCUGAAUACGUGUAUUCUGCUGAAAGUACUGUACGAAUAAGGAUCGGCUAACUCCGUGCCAGCAGCCGCGGUAAUACGGAGGAUCCAAGCGUUAUCCGGAUUUAUUGGGUUUAAAGGGUGCGUAGGCGGAUUGAUAAGUUAGAGGUGAAAUGUCCGGGCUUAACUCUGGAACUGCAUCUAAUACUGUUGGUCUAGAGAUGAGUUGCGGUAGGCGGAAUGUAUGGUGUAGCGGUGAAAUGCUUAGAGAUCAUACAGAACACCGAUUGCGAAGGCAGCUUACUAAUCUAUAUCUGACGUUGAGGCACGAAAGCGUGGGGAGCAAACAGGAUUAGAUACCCUUGUAGUC
rnacentral:rRNA from 1 species